UUCAAAGUAGUUAAAAAAGAAUAACAUCAAGAUGUAAACUUGAAAUUAGAAGUUCUCUUUGAAA
rnacentral:tRNA from 1 species